rnacentral:pre_miRNA from 1 species
CCUAUAGGCGAAAAUGAACACUGAUUUCGCCUACCCUCAUCACCGUCCAAAGUUCAUCGCACGGUCACAAUUGUUUGGUAGUGUUUCAUUUUUAAUUUUUUUUUUUUACAAAUCGGAAUGAUCUGAAAUUUGGAGCAUGUAUUCAUUAAAAAUAAGCAAAACUAGGAAAAAUAUAAAAAAAAAAAAUUACAUGAAAUAAAUUGACCAAAAUACCAUCGAAAAGUCUCAAGGGUAUUUUGGUCAAUUUUGUUUUCGUGAAUUAUUUGUUUUAUAUUUUCAUUAGGUGCGUCUCACUAAGAUGUACACACGUUCCAAAUUUUAGAUCAUUCCGAUUCGUAGAAAAAAAAAUGAAAAAUGAAACAUUACCGAACAAUCGUGACCGUGCGAUGAAAUAUAGACGGUGAUGAGGGCAAGCGAAAUCACUGUUCAUUUUCUCCUAUAGG